UACGUAGGUGGCAAGCGUUGUCCGGAAUUAUUGGGCGUAAAGCGCGCGCAGGCGGUUUCUUAAGUCUGAUGUGAAAGCCCACGGCUUAACCGUGGAAGGUCAUUGGAAACUGGGAGACUUGAGUGCAGAAGGGAAGAGCGGAAUUCCACGUGUAGCGGUGAAAUGCGUAGAGAUGUGGAGGAACACCAGUGGCGAAGGCGGCUCUUUGGUCUGUAACUGACGCUGAGGCGCGAAAGCGUGGGGAUCAAACAGG
rnacentral:rRNA from 1 species